UACGAAGGGGGCUAGCGUUGUUCGGAAUCACUGGGCGUAAAGGGCGCGUAGGCGGCUUUUCAAGUCGGGGGUGAAAGCCUGUGGCUCAACCACAGAAUUGCCUUCGAUACUGUUAGGCUUGAGACCGGAAGAGGUGAGUGGAACUGCGAGUGUAGAGGUGAAAUUCGUAGAUAUUCGCAAGAACACCAGUGGCGAAGGCGGCUCACUGGUCCGGUUCUGACGCUGAGGCGCGAAAGCGUGGG
rnacentral:rRNA from 1 species